CCGGGCCCACCUCCAAGCAGAUUUCAUGGGAAAGGCUGCCACCUCGUGGCCAGAUGGCAAACCCAACAUUUGCCGGGAGGAGGCGAGGGCUGGUGAGGGAGGGGCUUUGUGGAGCAGCUGGUGCAGCCUUGCUUUCCGAGGGCGGCGUGCAGCCACAGUGCCCGCUGCGGGUGCUGGGGAAUGGCGCCUUACAGGCUGCCCACCUGCCUCCUCAGGGUGGAAGGCGGGGCUUGGGUGUGAGCGUGCUGAAUCAGAACUUUCCUGGAAAGUCGCCACUUGGUGUGGUCAGAGGAUCACUGAACAACUGCACAGAGCCUGUGCUUAAGAUGGCAGGAUCGCAAGACAGAGCAACUGGAGCAAGUCCUCAUUAAGAAGAGCCGCCCGAUGCAUUUGGACUGCGAUGUGUUACGCCCAUGAGAUUUCAGGGUUAAUUUGUUACCUGGCCGUGGCCUAUCCUCUUCCAGCAGAUACAGAGGCUACUGCAGUUUGCAACUUUGCAGAUACCAGCAGAGGAAGAAAAACCUGGGAGACUGCUGCUAACCUAAUGUGGAGACUUGACUUAAACUUCAGCCAGACAAAGGCGGAAUCUUAAUAUGGAGGGGCCUGGCUCUGCAGGGAGGUCACCUGGGCUGGCUGGAUUUCAAUCCAGUUACACAGCAAAAAAGUUACAACCCAAGCUUUGGCGAUGCUGAGCCUUCUACUCUCAGGGAUUCCAAAGCAUUUGAUAAACUCUUUCUUUGUUCCAUUGUUUACUGACUUCCUAGUGCUUGUCUUGUUCUGCAGUUAUUUAUUUAUUUUUAUUUAUUAGUUUUUACUUAUGAUCUACCCCUCUCUCCCAUCUCCCCGCAACCUGAAGGUAAGGUGCAGGAAGUUAUGGCCUUUGCUUUGUAUAUAAGUGACUGGAGCAGAAUCCACUUCUGCUGAGAAGCUCUGGAUGACCACGGAUAAGCAGGAAGGCAUGUGACAUAUUGGCAAGUGAGUCAGACAGAAAGAGAGACGUGGGAUCGAGUCCUGGCAUUGCCCUUUCUAGCUAUUGUGUCCUUGGACAGGUAAUUUAGCUUCCCUGAGUCUGUUUUCUCAUCUGAAAAAUGAAGAUAGUAAUAAUUAUCCUCGUGGGGCUAUUGAAAAAGUUAAAAUAAUACAAGCAAAGCAUUUAACAUAGG
rnacentral:lncRNA from 1 species